rnacentral:rRNA from 1 species
GAUGUAGCGGCGGACGGGUGAGUAACACGUGGGUAACCUGCCUGUAAGACUGGGAUAACUCCGGGAAACCGGGGCUAAUACCGGAUGCUUGAUUGAACCGCAUGGUUCAAUUAUAAAAGGUGGCUUUUAGCUACCACUUACAGAUGGACCCGCGGCGCAUUAGCUAGUUGGUGAGGUAACGGCUCACCAAGGCAACGAUGCGUAGCCGACCUGAGAGGGUGAUCGGCCACACUGGGACUGAGACACGGCCCAAACUCCUACGGGAGGCAGC